rnacentral:lncRNA from 12 species
CAAUCGGAUCUUCACAUUACUCGUUUGAAUUUUGUUUUUAAGCACCCUUCUGUGCCAGACACCCUGCCAUGCAUUUUAUGUGAAGUCCCUCUGGCCCUUCCACCGUGGUGGAUGCAAAGUCUUGGUGCUGCUGGGGAUAAUGACGAUUAUCUUUGUUGAGCACUUUCUCUGUGCCUAGUGUUUGCUAAGCCCUUUGCACACAAUACCUCAACCUUGUUUUUACAGAUGAGAAAAUUUGCCCACGAAAAGGAAGAAGAUGGACUGUAGGAAUGCACAUGGCUGAUGGAUAAUGCUGGAUAUUUGAAGUUUGUUCGAUAUGACAAGAUGCUAGAGCUAUUAAGUCCAUUAGGCCACGGAUGGCAACUUUAUUUUGCUCACACAGUGGUGUAACAGAAAAACAUCAACCCCAGGGAUCUUGCUACAGAGAAUUUGGUAAGGAGAUGCAUUUCCUCCCCCAAGUCGGCUGUCUCCAUUCGUAACUGAUACUACAUACAGCAGGGAAGCAUCUGUGUUUCAGAAAAAUGAUGUGUGAAAACAGUUUUCAAAAAUGCACGCUUUCUACAUUAAAAAAAACUAAAAAUAUGUUUGGUUACCACUUUGCAGAGCCUAUUGAAUUUGGCUGUGAAUGGGAAUCUAAUUGCCAUCCGUUUCUAUUGGAGCCUUCUACGAACAUGACAUUUCCAUUAAAAAGAGAAGUCGACUAUGGCAUUAUGAGAAGAUCUCCUUUGUCACCGGCUCUUGAUACUGUGGGAUUGGCAUCAGAACGUCCCCACGUGCAGCGCUGAACCUAAGGGCUGAGGGACCCACGGCUUGGGCUGGAGGGACCAGACUGAAACUGCACUCGUCGCAGAAAUAUCUGUCCGCUGCUCCAUGCGUGGCAGGAGCACAUAGUAGCAUAUUUUCCUAAACUUGGUAGCCCGAUGUCGAUGAUCGGCACCCCUUCUCCUUCUCUUUUUUGGCAUUUCUUGUUCGGUGACCCGAAGCCCAGCACCCCGUUUGUUGAGUCGGACAAUCUGUUUUUAAUGAUUUUGUUUUUCCUUUUGGUGCCCACCUGGCCCAGGGAAGGCGCUAUUCCAGCAGUGCGGAUAAUAAGAUUUACAGUUAAUAAGGUGAAAGCACACAACGAUGCCAGAUUAAUAUUUCUCAGGCACUGCUCCAAUUAACGUCUUCCCCAAUUAAUCUACUGUCUCUAACUCCCAGCCUAAUUAAAUCCAGAGUUCUACCCCUGGACGUCAAGAGUCUUUACUUCACGGCCUCUUCCUGUCUUCUGACAUCUUCUUCUACUAUUUCCCUAGCUGAACAGUGUAGACCAGCUCCGUGGUUCUCAUUCCUGGCUGCACAUCAAAAUUACUGGGGGGGUGGGGGGGAAGCUUUAAAAAACAACAACAACAACAGAAAAAAAAAACCCACUGAUGCCCAGGGCCCCCACUGCAUGCUAAUUGAAUAUGAAUCUGAGGGUGAAGGACAGGCAUCAAUUUGGUUUUUCUGUUUUUUGGAGUUUUUAAAAGCUCCUUAUUGUGGUCGUCUAGUGCUAUAAAACAAACCACCCAAGACUAAUUUGUAUAAAACAGAGACCAUUUUAGUUUGCUCCCAACUCUGGGAGGCCAGAAUUCAGAAGGAACACAACACUGAUGGUGGGUCUCUGCUCUACGAUGUUGGGGUCCUGGCUAAAAAAAAAAAAAAAAAAAAUCACAAAUGGUUAGGCGUGUCUCAGGUAGCUAGGUGCUGGAAUCAUCUAGAGCCUUCUUUGUUCACUUCUUUGCAGCUUGGACCGGGAUGCCUCAA